AGAAAACCCAUUGAACUUUGUUUUAAUGGUUUUUGCGUCGAAAUAGGAUCAAUUAUAUGCAGAAAAGCUAACAGACAAAGCCAACCGGUACACAGUGCUCCUGUGGAGGAUGUUUGAUGAGUACUGUUGCCUGAUCUUCAAAGGUGCAGCUUAAAACAGCCACCCUUUACAGACAGUAGCAGAGGACUGGAGAGGUGUCUCACCCAUGGCCUGCUUACCCAUAGCACAGUGCAGAGGAAGGCUUAAGAAGAGAAGCAGUUUGUAAGUAAUCAAACACAAGGGAAAAGCCAGCAGCAACCAUCCUGGC
rnacentral:lncRNA from 1 species